UACGUAGGGGGCAAGCGUUGUCCGGAUUUAUUGGGCGUAAAGAGCGUGUAGGCGGCCAGGUAGGUCCGUUGUGAAAACUGGAGGCUUAACCUCCAGCUGUCGAUGGAAACCAUCUGGCUAGAGUCCGGAAGAGGAGAGUGGAAUUCCUGGUGUAGCGGUGAAAUGCGCAGAUAUCAGGAAGAACACCCGUGGCGAAGGCGGCUCUCUG
rnacentral:rRNA from 1 species